rnacentral:snoRNA from 1 species
UGCUGUGAUGAGUUCUAGCUUAUUUCUGACACCUCUUGUAUGAGAUGGGAUUAGUCCCUUCAUUGAGCAGAUCCAGCAACUCUCUGAGCC